ACAUCUUCUCUGUUCUGAUCCAUUUGGUAGUUAUGUGUUACAGAAUUUACUGUUGAAUGCCUCAGAAAGACGACUGAUUUCAGGUGCGCAGUCAAAGGAACCGGAGUUCACAGAUUGGGUUUUAAAAGUUAGUAAGUUUGUACUAAACAAUUUGGAGGACUUUGUUUGGAAUAAAUAUGCCAAUCAUGUAA